rnacentral:rRNA from 1 species
CCUGAUGGAGCAACGCCGCGUGAGUGAGAAAGGUUUUCGGAUCGUAAAGCUCUGUUGUUGGUGAAGAAGGAUAGAGGUAGUAACUGGCCCCUAUUUGACGGUAAUCAACCAGAAAGUCACGGCUAACUACGUGCCAGCAGCCGCGGUAAUACGUAGGUGGCAAGCGUUGUCCGGAUUUAUUGGGCGUAAAGCGAGCGCAGGCGGAAAGAUAAGUCUGAUGUGAAAGCCCCCGGCUUAACCGAGGAAUUGCAUCGGAAACUGUGUUUCUUGAGUGCAGAAGAGGAGAGUGGAACUCCAUGUGUAGCGGUGGAAUGCGUAGAUAUAUGGAAGAACACCAGUGGCGAAGGCGGCUCUCUGGUCUGUAACUGACGCUGAGGCUCGAAAGCAUGGGUAGCGAACAGGAUUAGAUACCCUGGUAGUCCAUGCCGUAAACGAUGAGUGCUAAGUGU